CACUAGAUUGUGAGCUGCUGGA
rnacentral:miRNA from 1 species